rnacentral:lncRNA from 1 species
AUUCUCUAUGCGUACAGAUAUAGAAGGAACAUGCGGAGCCCAUAAGCCACUCAUUCUGUCUGCGUGUCUUAUCCGUAACUGUGAAGACGAUAUCAUUUUUAUCUGAUUUUUCUGCUGCAACGCUUGCUUCUGUUUCAAUAUUGGUGUUUUCCUAACUUUGAUUUUUAUCACCGUUAUUCUUCCAUCACUCUUUAUUUUUCAACUUAAAACAAUCAGCUUUUAUGUGAUCCUUCUUCUUAUAAUAACCACAAAUCAGAUUCCUGUACUUUGACUUUGAUCUAGAUGUGUCACGCCCCGAGACCAGCCUAUUU